rnacentral:rRNA from 1 species
UAGGGAAUCUUCGGCAAUGGACGAAAGUCUGACCGAGCAACGCCGCGUGAGUGAAGAAGGUUUUCGGAUCGUAAAACUCUGUUGUUAGAGAAGAACAAGGACGUUAGUAACUGAACGUCCCCUGACGGUAUCUAACCAGAAAGCCACGGCUAACUACGUGCCAGCAGCCGCGGUAAUACGUAGGUGGCAAGCGUUGUUCGGAUUUAUUGGGCGUAAAGCGAGCGCAGGCGGUUUCUUAAGUCUGAUGUGAAAGCCCCCGGCUCAACCGGGGAGGGUCAUUGGAAACUGGGAGACGUGAGUGCAGAAGAGGAGAGUGGAAUUACAUGUGUAGCGGUGAAAUGCGUAGAUAUAUGGAGGAACAGCAGUGGCGAAGGCGGCUCUCUGGUCUGUAACUGACGCUGAGGCUCGAAAGCGUGGGGAGCAAACAGG